UAAGAAAUUUCAGAAAUAACAUUUUAUUGAAAUUCAUCAUCAAUAUGAUUAAAGAUAAUUGUUUAUAAGAAUCAUAAUUAUACCAGACUCUAUUUUCAGUGUGAUAAAGGAACUACUUAUGGAAAUAAAAUACCAAAUAGAUAUUCAAUAGGAUUAAGGAGAGUUGGAAUAAAAUAUGACAGUUUAACAAAGUCCAAGAAAGUGAUCUCAGAUUUUCCAGGGAAAACUGAAGUUAGGACUGCUAAAAAAUUUUGAGAACUCUUCUCCAGUCGUUACUUGGAAAUUGUCUACAGGAUGGCUGGCUGCUGCUGAUACCGUCGAUUUGUUCAUGGCAUGGCUUCCAAGUGCUGAGCACCUGCAUCUUACACUCAGCUGACAGAGAGGCAUGCUUCACUGGAGUGGCACCGGAAUACAAAUAAAUUGGAUAGCACUUAGUGACCUGAAAUGCCACUGAGAGAUGAAAGACAAACUCCACUGAAAGUGACAUAAAUAUUUUCGUUUCUGGAUAGGGGAACUGAUACCAAUGGAAUCAGAAUGUCCAAGUGGUGUAGCAAAUUACAUUUCAGAUGGCUUCCAGAGCUAUUGAUGUGUAAGAGUCAGAAUAAGGGGUUAUAAGCAGAUGCUUGCUGUCAAACCUGAUGAUCUGGGUUCUAUCCCCAGAACUCAGGAGAUGAAAGGGAGCAACUCCUGCACAGUGUCCUCUGAGCCUCACAUUCACAUUUUGGCAUCUGCACAUGCAGUGGUACAAGUGCCACAUGCCACACACACACAGGUAUACACACAUACACAAACACAUGCACACACACACACACACACACACACACACACACACACACACACACACCAAACAUCAAACCAAUAAAUACUUUUUAGUAAAAAUUCUUUUUACUAAAACUCCACAAAUGUUUGAAUGUCUAAUAAAACUUAGAAUUCCACAGGAUAUUCUUUACAAAAUGAAAAGGUGGUUGUUACGACAAAUCUUUUCACCGAAAGUGGCCUGAGCCCUACCACCACAUGGGUGCUUUCUGCCGGCUGCCUGAGUUCGGCCCGCUGUGUUAGGGCCCUAAAUGAUACACAGAGGAUUCUAUUAGGUACAAAUGCUGCUUGGCGAAUGACUAGGAUUCUUAUCUGUUAGCUCAGUCUUAAUUAUCAUAAAUCUAUAUAUUUUAUAAGACUUAUCUUAUUGGACGCCUUCCAUUGGCAUCCUGGGAUCACAUGGUGACUCUGGAGGAAGAGAGAAGGGGUCCACUUCCUUCUUCCCUUCUUUAUG
rnacentral:lncRNA from 1 species